UUGUAAAAUUUAUAUUCUAAAACACAGUAUUUGAACAAAAUGAUUCGGUUGAUAUCUGCAUAUGUAGGAUUGAUUGGGGUAGAUUGCAAGGGCAACUCCAAAAAUAUAAUGUUACUAUA